AUGAAUGAUCCUGGAGGACUUUCCUCAGCCUCAAGUUUGCGGUACCAGAGUCUGAUGCAAGUCUCCACCCCAGAGGCAGGCCUGACCACGGCUCCUGAGGAUGCUGUGCACAGGAAGCUGAGGCAGGCAAUCCUAUGUGAAUGUCAAGCACACAAGCUAGACAGAAGAAAGAACUUCCAUAGGGCAUCAAUACUGUAUAGAAAAAUCAUCCAACUUGAAGGAUUCUCUUCUUGGGAGGCAAUGAACGAGGAGCACCCUCACCUUGCUGAGCCAGAAUUAAGCUUGGAUAACUUCCUGAAAGACAGAAGUGCGAAGCAAGGAUUAGCAGAGAGGUGGGCAGCCUGGAGACAAGCAGAUACGGGCUGAGGGCCACUUCAGAGAGUCUUCGACAUAUCGCCAUAAAUUGUCUUCUGAGGAGGAAGCCAGAUCCAACAUCAAGUUCUAACAGUGAAGCCUGGAAGAAGAGACUGGAAUAACCAGGGAGGAAGGAACACUGUAUAUCUGUGGCAUUGGGUGGCAGGAGUCAUCCCUGAGAGGCUUUGCAGACUGGGCCAGUCCAGCCGGGCCAGCACAAGGUCUCUGAAGGGAGCAGGCCACUGUGUGAGGGGCCAGGAAGGGAUUUUAUAUAACACCGUGCACUUGCUACUCUGAUGAAGAACCCUCAGAGCUUCCGGGAGUCCCUUUUAACAAAAGCUCGUCACCUUUCCGGGCCUCCUUCCAGAAGCCCUGUUCUGGCCUAAAGCCCUCUUCUGCAAGGUGCCUGCUGAGCAUGGUGUUUUUCCUCCAGAGAGCCUGAAGCCAGCACUAUCCUGGCUGGGCAGGUAGCCCAGCUCAGAGGAAGGAGAACUGACCCACGGGUAGCAGGGCUGGGCUCCCAAUUUCUGACUGGGUAACCUGGAUCUAGAUCUCACAAGGGUAGUGACUAAGUGCCCAGACCCUGGAGAGGGACUACCUGGGUUCAAAUGCUGCCCUUGCCAUUCAAGGAGUUUGGCCAAGUUAUUUAAUCUCUCUGCCUUAGUUUCCUCAUAGGAAUAAAGACAUUUCAAAGUUGUUGAGUUUUAAAUGG
rnacentral:lncRNA from 1 species